AGGGGUAUACGACUUAGGUCUGUGUCGCCCAGGUGUGUGUGACUGGUCCCAGGAUCAUCCGUGAAUCCGGAAGGUCAAAAGGUCAACCUUUCUGAUAUCGAUGGCUGAAUGAACUAAGCGGUGGAGAUACAGAUGUGAGCGUCCAUAAGCGGGCUAUUUAGCCUCGGGCUAUUUUUGUGGAGGGCUGUUUUUGCCCAGGGUUGUUCUGGGUAGGGUUAGUGGCCUGUCCGGGACUGGUCAGUACAUGGACAAUAGACCAUCACAGACUCAUAUUUGCUCUAUAUAAUUUUUUCUUUUGUCAUUUCCGG
ensembl:lncRNA